rnacentral:lncRNA from 1 species
GUCCAACACCAAGAGUGGACCUUACUGUAAACUAAGCCAGACAUGAUGGCGGGUGGCUGUAAUCCCAGCAACUCGGGAGGCUGCGGCGGGAGAAUUGCUUGAACCCAGGAGGCAGAGGUUCCAGUGAGCUGAGAUUGCACCAUUGCACUCCAGCCUGGGCAACAGAGCGAGACUCCAUCUCAAAAAAAAAAUUGAUAAGUAAUAAAUAAAAAAGAAAAAUUGAAAGGAGGGGUCAAAUACAAAAUAGAGAGAAGGGGCUCUGUCAAAUUCCUGGAAAAUAGAGGCAAAUCGAAUCGUAAGCACCCAGGAAGAGACUGGAUUUAAAGAACAGAUAGAAUUUCUAUUUUAACAAGUGAGAAGGAGGACAUGGUUGAUAAAGAUGUAGGCAUAUUCAUAUAUUUGAUAGCAGGAAGAUGGUGAGUAGUUCCUGUGUGAAAUUUCAAGAAUUCUCUCCCUAACAGUGCGCUAGAGAUCAGCUCCGCAACCUUCAAUAUUUAAGAGAAAAGACCCACCCAUGAGUGUAUGAAAACACCAAUAUCUGCUCUCCAGGGCCAUGGGAAUGAAGUUCCAAACUAAAUAUAAUCUAAAUUACUAUUCUAACAAGAGACUUAGCCUUUCCCAGGUAGGAAGUGAGGCAAAUGUGCCGGCCUCAAGAGUAUUAUUUUGUGAAAUAGGGCAUUUAUGGCUUCAGUAAUUGGAAGUUAUUGAAGGCUUGGGAAAAGGAUGUAAAGGUGUUUAAAUGGUUU